AUACGUAGGUGGCGAGCGUUGUCCGGAAUUACUGGGUGUAAAGGGCGUGUAGGCGGGGAGACAAGUCAGAUGUGAAAUACCGAGGCUUAACUUCGGGGCUGCAUCUGAAACUGUUUUUCUUGAGUGUCGGAGAGGAAAGUGGAAUUCCUAGUGUAGCGGUGAAAUGCGUAGAUAUUAGGAGGAACACCAGUGGCGAAGGCGACUUUCUGGACGAUAACUGACGCUGAGGCGCGAAAGCGUGGGGAGCAAACAGGAUUAGAUACCCUGGUAGUCCACGCCGUAAACGAUGGAUACUAGGUGUAGGAGGUAUCGACCCCUUCUGUGCCGCAGUUAACACAAUAAGUAUCCCACCUGGGGAGUACGGCCGCAAGGUUGAA
rnacentral:rRNA from 1 species